GACGAACGCUGGCGGCGUGCUUAACACAUGCAAGUCGAGCGGUAAGGCUCCUUUGGGGGUACACGAGCGGCGAACGGGUGAGUAACACGUGAGUAAUCUGCCCUUCACUCGCGGAUAAGCUUCGGAAACGGGGUCUAAUACGUGGUGGUCACUGUCUCCUGCAUGGGGGGUGGUGGAAAGUGUUUAGCGGUGGGGGAUGUGCUCGCGGCCUAUCAGCUUGUUGGUGGGGUAAUGGCCUACCAAGGCUUCGACGGGUAGCCGGCCUGAGAGGGAGACCGGCCACACUGGGACUGAGACACGGCCCAGACUCCUACGGGAGGCAGCAGUGGGGAAUAUUGGACAAUGGGCGGAAGCCUGAUCCAGCAACGCCGCGUGGGGGAUGACGGCCUUCGGGUUGUAAACCUCUUUCAGUGUCGACGAAGCCCUGGUUUUUUGGUUGGGGUGACGGUAGGCGCAGAAGAAGCACCGGCCAACUACGUGCCAGCCGCCGCCGUAAAAC
rnacentral:rRNA from 1 species